GAUCCCCUGAUUUCUGUUACGAUAAUAGGGGUGGUUCAACUGAAAUUACACUGAAUUAGCAGGUAUGAAACUCGUGUUGAAUAAGUGUAGAACUGUUGAUGACUGCUUGAGCACUCGCUCGAGAGUGCUGGACUCGGAAUUGGAGUUGGAAUGGGACUAAUUUGGAGAGAGUGAGAAACUGAACUCGACUGACUAGCUGCCCUUAAGGUGUCUCGGAGGAAAACUUGCUGUGGGUGUGUUCUUUGACCGAAAAAUAGCCUUUUAUGAUGAACAUGUGUUGGGUUUUUCCCGUCUGAUGACUGUCCGCUUUCUCCGUGAUGUUUAAGAGCGCCUAAUAAACUCAAGGAUCUUUCCAAAACCCCGCCAUAAACUGCAAAUAUUUCUAGAAUUAUAGAAUUCUCUCGAUAUGCAAUUAGACUGGCAAGCAUUUGUGGAGACAAUGCAGCUAAAGGCUAAUGUCUUUAUGGUGGGUCAUUGCGUCUAUUGAGAAUCGGGAUGGCUGUAGAUUGACCGUUGGCUACCAGGUAGCGAGAGACGGCGCGCAGAUGUCCUACGCGACGUAACAAAUGAAGUACCAAAAUAAUGAUGAACGAUCCACGGAUGAAAUAAUUCUCCAUAGACACACUUAAUUCAAUUUAAAUUUAUUAAUGCACGUAGAAAUAUCAUUUACUAUGUUGCAUACAAAUUUAUUACUAGAAAUAUGUUUAUUACAAACCAUAUUUACUAUAAUAAAUUAAAGCUAAACCAUA